UACGUAGGGGGCAAGCGUUGUCCGGAUUUAUUGGGCGUAAAGCGCUCGUAGGCGGUUCGGUAAGUCGGGGGUGAAAUCCCGAGGCUCAACCUCGGAACUGCCUUCGAUACUGCGGGUCUCGAGUCCGGGAGAGGUGAGUGGAAUUCCUAGUGUAGAGGUGAAAUUCGUAGAUAUUAGGAAGAACACCAGUGGCGAAGGCGGCUCACUGGCCCGGUACUGACGCUGAGGCGCGAAAGCGUGGGGAGCAAACAGG
rnacentral:rRNA from 1 species